GGGUCAGUAGGUUGGUCGUGCCACCGGUACGUACUGGUCUCACUGAUUCCUCCUUCCUGAAGAACCUUAAUGCCAUUAAUUCGGUGUUGCGGGGAAACAGGACUGUUACUUUGAAAAAAUUAGAGUGUUUAAAGCAAGCUAACGCUUGAAUACAUUAGCAUGGAAUAAUGAAAUAGGACGAUCGAUCCUAUUUUGUUGGUUUCUAGGAUUGACGUA
rnacentral:rRNA from 1 species